CCCUCAAAAAACGCUAAACCAGGGGGUGCGCACAAACCAACCUCUCUCCAUAACCCUCGUGGCAGGAUGAAAUGGCCACCGCGUAGGCUUUGACUGUAAACGGAGCCAAGUCAUUAUCCACCAAUGUUUGAAAAUAAAGUAACACAAGGGGCAAAGGGCACGAUGUGGAUUCUGCACCUUUCA